ensembl:rRNA n-R5s65 nuclear encoded rRNA 5S 65
GAUUACAGCCAUACCACCCUGAAUGCCCAAUCUCAUCUGAUCUCGGGAGCUAAGCUGGGUUGGGCCUGGUUAGUACUUGAAUGGGAGGCCGCCUGGGAAUACUAGGUGCAGUAUACC